CAAACAAAAGUUCAACGUCCUGUAACAUAACUAUGUCAAAGUUAAAGGUUCCAUGUUUGG
rnacentral:tRNA from 1 species